UGCAGUCGAACGAACUUCCGUUAAUUGAUUAUGACGUACUUGUACUGAUUGAGAUUUUAACACGAAGUGAGUGGCGAACGGGUGAGUAACACGUGGGUAACCUGCCCAGAAGUAGGGGAUAACACCUGGAAACAGAUGCUAAUACCGUAUAACAGAGAAAACCGCAUGGUUUUCUUUUAAAAGAUGGCUCUGCUAUCACUUCUGGAUGGACCCGCGGCGUAUUAGCUAGUUGGUGAGGUAAAGGCUCACCAAGGCAGUGAUACGUAGCCGACCUGAGAGGGUAAUCGGCCACAUUGGGACUGAGACACGGCCCAGACUCCUACGGGAGGCAGCAGUAGGGAAUCUUCCACAAUGGACGCAAGUCUGAUGGAGCAACGCCGCGUGAGUGAAGAAGGGUUUCGGCUCGUAAAGCUCUGUUGUUAAAGAAGAACGUGGGUAAGAGUAACUGUUUACCCAGUGACGGUAUUUAACCAGAAAGCCACGGCUAACUACGUGCCAGCAGCCGCGGUAAUACGUAGGUGGCAAGCGUUAUCCGGAUUUAUUGGGCGUAAAGCGAGCGCAGGCGGUCUUUUAAGUCUAAUGUGAAAGCCUUCGGCUCAACCGAAGAAGUGCAUUGGAAACUGGGAGACUUGAGUGCAGAAGAGGACAGUGGAACUCCAUGUGUAGCGGUGAAAUGCGUAGAUAUAUGGAAGAACACCAGUGGCGAAGGCGGCUGUCUGGUCUGCAACUGACGCUGAGGCUCGAAAGCAUGGGUAGCGAACAGGAUUAGAUACCCUGGUAGUCCAUGCCGUAAACGAUGAUUACUAAGUGUUGGAGGGUUUCCGCCCUUCAGUGCUGCAGCUAACGCAUUAAGUAAUCCGCCUGGGGAGUACGACCGCAAGGUGAAACUCAAAAGAAUUGACGGGGGCCCGCACAAGCGGUGGAGCAU
rnacentral:rRNA from 1 species